ensembl:lncRNA
AUAUAUUGUUUUAGUAAGUACACUGCAAAAUCUAAUAUUGUGUUUAAUUAAAAAUAUUAAGUAGGCUGAACUUAAUUUUCAUCAAUUUGUUAUUAGAACUCGAUUUAAAUAAGUUACCAGUACUUUUUAUGCAAAAACGCUGAUAAACUCAAUUUAUUUGAGUUUGUGUCAGGUUUUGAACAUCUGUGGGAUCUAUUAAUGUCAAAUCUAGCCUUUCUUUAACAACAUAAGCAAACUGCUUUUAUAUUUAACCCACUUUUCUGUUUUAUUACAUUUUAAAUAAUACUAAUAAUAAUAACAAUAGUAUUUAUUUUGUUAAAAAAUGUGUUUAAAAACAAGUUUUGUUGUGAAAGCUAUAAUCCAGAUUAGUGGCCUGUUAAAUGGUUAAAGUCUAGGUUGGCUUUAUACUUGAGAAUAAAGUAAUAUAGCUUGUCCUUCUAAAGAAUUAAGUUAAAUUCCACAGUUGAAUCAUAAGAAACAUUAUGUUACAUAUAAACUCUGCCAUAUGUUAGAACUGGUCAUUUUGCUUAUUAGAAACUUUAUAUAUUGGAAGUUAACUUUUAACAAGCAUGUAAUGAUUAUAUUUAAAUUAGGUGGUCUUUUUUCAAACACAUAUCUCUUUAGGCCUAAACUGACAGUGCCAAUACCACACAUUCAGACACAGUAGUAGAUGUGUUAGUCUAAUUUGGUUGUAUGGGGUCUACAUUGACCUUCUGUGUUGUAAGUUACAAUGAUUGCACAGCCAUUAAGGAUCAAAUCAGCUUCUAAAAAAUGUUCUGUUUUUUCUCCCUCUGCUUGCUUCUUACUGUCUUUGAGGCUCGGGACCAGCACUCCUGCUGUUGGACAUAAAGACAUCAACUCAGUGACUUGAGAUAUGACUGCACUAUGCUGUUGCUGUUGACUCCAGUUAAUUCUACAAGACAUGCUGUGACACCAGGAGAGAUGAGUCCUCCGUCACAGAUGGUGUGGUCAGUGAAGAUGGUUGCCUGCAGGUUCAAGCUCAUUGCAUCUCCAACCCACAUCCAC